AGGAUAAUAGUUAAUUAUAACAUUUAAUUUGCAUUUAAAAAGUACUGUUCAAGUUUAUCUAA
rnacentral:tRNA from 1 species